rnacentral:rRNA from 2 species
UACGAAGGGAGCUAGCGUUGUUCGGAAUCACUGGGCGUAAAGCGCACGUAGGCGGAUUUGUAAGUCAGGGGUGAAAUCCCGGGGCUCAACCUCGGAACUGCCUUUGAUACUGCAAAUCUCGAGUCCGGAAGAGGUGGGUGGAAUUCCUAGUGUAGAGGUGAAAUUCGUAGAUAUUAGGAAGAACACCGGUGGCGAAGGCGGCCCACUGGUCCGGUACUGACGCUGAGGUGCGAAAGCGUGGGGAGCAAACAGG